GAUGAACGCUAGCGGCAGGCCUAAUACAUGCAAGUCGAACGGGAUUAAGAGGCUUGCUUCUUAUGAGAGUGGCGCACGGGUGCGUAACACGUAUGCAACCUACCUUCAACUGGGGGAUAGCCUUCCGAAAGGGAGAUUAAUACCGCAUAACAUAAUUGAGUGGCAUCACUUGAUUAUCAAACGUCAGGGUUGAAGAUGGGCAUGCGUCCGAUUAGUUUGUUGGUGAGGUAACGGCUCACCAAGACUACGAUCGGUAGGGGAUCUGAGAGGAUGGCCCCCCACACUGGUACUGAGACACGGACCAGACUCCUACGGGAGGCAGCAGUAAGGAAUAUUGGUCAAUGGACGGGAGUCUGAACCAGCCAUGCCGCGUGGAGGAUGAAGGUCCUCUGGAUUGUAAACUUCUUUUAUCUGGGAAGAAACCCAUAUUUUCUAGUGUGGUUGACGGUACCAGAUGAAUAAGCACCGGCUAACUCCGUGCCAGCAGCCGCCGUAACAC
rnacentral:rRNA from 1 species